GCGCCGCUAGCUCAAUUGGCAGAGCAGCGGACUCUUAAUCCGCGGGUUCGGGGUUCGAGUCCCUGGCGGCGCACCA
rnacentral:tRNA from 1 species